rnacentral:snRNA from 1 species
UUACUUACCUGGCAGGGGAGACACCAUGAUCAGGCAGGUGGUUUUCCCAGGGCGAGGCUCAUCCCCUGCACUCCGCGUGUGCUGACCCCUGCGAUUUCCCCAAAUGCGGGAAACUCGACUGUGUAGUAUCUGUUCUUAUCAGUUUAAUAUCUGAUA